UUCAUCGAUAACUUACCACAUGGCCUAGAAUGAUUCUGCAACUGUACAAAUGGAGUUACUAAAUAUGAUAAAUACUCCAUAGAAUGAAAUAUUGACACUGCUAUGACUGAACAAAUUCAACGACGCAAAAAUGAAAACUUGUGUCUAUUCUUUUGAGAAGUUCAUUGUGAAAUAACCAGUAACAGUAAACCGUAACAAGUUGCAGGAGAAGGAAGAGAAGAAAUGGGAAAACUCCCCACGACUAAAAGCAAGAACUUCGAAUAUUCACAGGAUUAUGAGAAUGAUAUUUAUCCACCCCAAAGAAGUUUGAAACAGAAGACGUAAAUUUCAUUCCGAAAUGCCAGAAUAGGGGACAAGAAUAUUGAAGACUGCAAUUAAUACCAAGGUCCAUGUAUUAGCCAUGAAUGUUCGGACUUGUCAGAGAAGCCUGUUCGGGAAAAAAUAAAAUUAAGAUAUUGAACCUGCUAAUUGAUUGGCGAUGAACAGGAUGAGUUGCGGAGGUGUUCAACCUUUUUUUACCCGAUUGCCACACCUCAUUUUAAGAGGAAUCUCCCGAGCCAGAACACAUAUGAAAUUUAAAUGUACUUAAAUUCUUGCUUCUAGAUAUCAUGAAAUAAACAUGGAGUAUGAAGGAAAAUUACAAACCAAGAAUUGGUUUUAUCAAUUACUGCAUACUUAUUUUAUCGAUCCGAUUUAAACGAGGAGGCACUUCACCCCGUCUUCUCAGUUCCAUUUUACGCGAUGGUGAUUGGUAAACGUAUCCUUCUGCUUGUAAAUUGGACAACCAGACAACCUUAACUUUGGCGUGCAUUUUAAUGUGCAAAAUAAAACUUAGUAUCCUUUACAUUACUUGCUUCACAUUGUUGAUACUUUCGUUAUUCUUACAUUUUAAAAACUGGUGCUUUUACGGAAAAAUGCCAUGUUCCGAGUAUGCCUUCCGCCGAAAACAGCGAAAUAGAAUCAUCGGAUACCACGUGACGAAAGCGGAGUCACGUGCCUUCUCGUGGAAAACGAACAAUAUCUGUUUUCUAGAAAAUAAUUUCUGAGUAUUUUGCAUCAAAUUUGCAAC